UUUAGGUUUAGAGCAAAUCUUAAUUAAUAACAGUCAUGCCUAAACUUGAGAGAUAAUUCAAUUUUGAGAACUAGUCAUGGCAGAGCAACUAUUCAUCAUUUCCAUGUGAGAGCUUAUCAUGAGGGUUCAUAGCAAACUUUAUUUAUUUAUUUAUUUAGCAAACUAAGCAAAGAUAUAUAUAUAUAAGCACAAAAUCUUUAUUUGGGUUUUAUGAUUAUGUAUCUUUUUAUUAUUUGAGUAUAAACGUGAGUAGAACACUUAGCUGGAUAAAUGGUGGUGCUCUCCCCCAAGCUGGAUUUUGACGUAAUUUCUUCUAAUAUAGCUAGCAGGUGGUGGAGGUGUAUUUGAAUAUCGGCAGCACCAUCACAGCGAUUAGGAUGUCCUCCGUCUGCUUAGUCUUCUUUGAUCCUUGAAUUCUGUGGAGCUCAAAUAGACAACAAAGCUUUGUGGAACUAGUUAAGUGUUAGCAUAAAAUCUCUUAGCCAUUAUUAUGUUGAGGUUCCUCUAAUAAAUAUUACUCUCUUUGGUAGAAUCAUAAAUUUAUUUUUAUAUUUUCAUUUUUAUAGGAGAGGAAUAUAUUUAUUUUAUUUUUACGCCACCACAGUGAAUGUACUUAUGGGUUUUAUGCCAUGAGCAUACUCACAUGGGGCUUUCUAUUUUUAUAAUUUUUAUUUUCUUUUCAAGAUAGCAUUAUUAACUAACAAGCCAUUUAAUGAAAGUAAAUAAUUUAAGGGAAAAGGGAAUGCUGAAAGGAUAAAUAUGGAUAACUACCAAUUUUACCUUUCGAUGAGGGUUCAAUGUUUUAAGUCUUCUGAACAAGACUUCUCACCGUGUUCAUUCUUUAGGUGCAUCAUUUGAUUUAGGUGUGGACCUUGACGUCUGCACCUCUUGAUACGGUAUCACCCAUGUUCUUCGUUUACCCAGUAGUUUCAAGUGCGGCGUUGGCAGCAUCCUGCUUAGUGUGUUUGUGCUCGUAGAUCUAGGUUCUUCACUUGGUGGAGUCUGGGAGUUGUAAAAGUCCUCCAUAUUUUGCUCAAAGUGUACCUGCUCAUAGAGACAAGGCAGAGAUCAAGUGCAUGGGUCCUGUUGGUGGAAAAGACCAACAGAACCAAAAGUGUAUUUGUUCUUCUCUAACCUUAAGCAUAGUGAGCAAGACAAAGUUGAUGGAUAAUAAGAUCAUGAGUGUAGUAUUUAAAACAUUUGUCAGAUCAGAACGCCCAACCUAAUGGAAAGAUAAUAUAUCUAUUCUUAUGCCUUUUUAUAUAUAUCUUCCAAAGAUUGUGUGUGCAACAUUUUAGCUCAUAUGAUUAGGAGUAUGGGAUCACAAAGGUGGAAGGACUAAACAUAUUGAAUCGAUUGGGUUGGUUAAUCUAGAGUUAUAAAUCAUACAUGUUUUUCUCUUUUAUUCAUGUGAACGCCAGAACCAAGGAGAAGUUUAUAAAAGUGAUAGUC
rnacentral:lncRNA from 1 species